GACAGAAUACUGAAGUCGCUUGCAGUGGAUUGGGUGUGAUGGCAGAUGGCAAACCUGAGUCCAGCUGUGGUGGAAAUGAAGAGUUCAUUUUGCUUUCUCUUUAAAAUGUUACAGCUGGAACUGAUACUCUGCCUGCUUUAGUUUCCUGGUAAUCAGGCUGACCAGUUGUAAAGGCAAGGUGAGUGAAUAUUGCUUGGCCUCUUGGUAGCCCUCACUUGUGCUUGCCACACGUCUGCAGCAUGUUGUACCUCCUGUCCUACAAGUAAUACUUGAAUAGUGACCUUUUGGUGACACUUCUGCUUUGAUACAGGAAAUCAUGUGGCCUUCAGAUAAGAGUAAAAAAGAUCUUAACACUUCCAAUUUUGUGCUUUAUUCUUACACUGAAGUGUGUGGGAUCUGAUAGUACCCUGGCAUUUGAACUUUCUCAUUUCUUUGCAGUGUAAGACUCACGAAGCAAGCUUGAGGUAUGUGGCAGUGCUUGGGGCCUUGAAUGGGAGAUAAAGUUUUGGCUAACCUAUUAACAGUAGUUUUUGAUUAAGAUGAUGCAGGAAUUGGAAACAGAGAAAGAACUGGAGAUGCUAUUUAAUAUAAAGUCUGAAUGCCAAACUAUAAAUGCAUUUAUACACGUUAUUUUCCAAUGACUCAUUGGCAUUGUCUGCUUCCCUUCCAGUGCAUCACUGGAGACGUACUCUAAACUGCUGCUUUAUUUUUUAGUGCUUUUUGACACUUCAGAGUGUCUAUUCCAAUUACAGUCCUUUCCUCAUUGGAAGAGUGGCAAAUGAGCAUGCUGAGUAAAUUACAAGAACUUCCAAAAUAGUACAAGUCUGUUAUUUGAAGGGGCAGAGGCAGAGGAAAUUAUACCAACCUAUUUAUUGUUCUGCAAACUGGAGAAGAAUAAAGGAGUUUGCUGUAAAGUACUCUGAAGGUUGAAACUGAAGGGAUCUGAGCAUGGCCCAGACUCCCUUGUAUUGAUUUAGCUGUAUGUAGGUGCUUGAAAUCUGGAUAGAGGUGCUGAAGUUCGAAUUCAGAAUUUUAAAAGAGACGUUUUAGAAUUUUAAAAUAUAAAAGGUAUUAUCCCAUGCCUUUUUGUUUCUGCCAGGUUGGGCUCUCCUUAAUUGCCAACAUUUAGGUAUGUCUUGCACUACCGGAUGAUGGGUGAGUGUGCAAGUUGAAGUGUUGAUGCUUUUUGUUGUUUUUUUUUUAAUUUGUGGUGGGAGGAUAACUAGGAGCUCAGGGAAUACAGACUGUAGGCAAGUUACACAGCCUUUAACUGGUUAGUCUCAGAAUGGCACUGGACCUGAUAGAGCUGAGGAAUGUGCUCUCUUUAUCUUCCAGAGAUUGGAUUUUGAGCUGAAGUUUUAAGCAAAAAUCUAGCUCUUUUACAAAAAAAUGGUGUUAAAAGAGUUGAAAAGGACAAGCCUUUCACAUCUAUUGUCGUGGAACUGACUUGUUCUGUUUUACUAGAAACAGAGGUAGACUUACUGACUUCUAGCAGCUGUGUGAUAAACAACUUGUAAAUAGACCACAGAGUUUCAGGAAAUACAAAUAAAAUAUUGGAAGUCACGAACUGACUACCAAAAGCCCUGGAAUAUUUAUAUUUAUCUGCUGCCUGGGCCGUUAUAUUCAGGAAACUUCUCUGGAACCACGUAAAGUGAAGUGCCCCAAAAGCCCACCCAGAGCAGCAACUUCUGGAGUCUUGUUUGUUUUGUUUCUGGUGGUAGCGAUGGUCUUUUCCCAAAAUCUUUGGGCAGCAGGAUAGAAAUGUUUUAUGGGAUACCCAAGUUACCAACACACAAGGGGUAGAAGUAGAGUUGCAGUAUUUGAGGUGCGUUAAUGACACCAUGCCAGUGUACUUGGAGACAGAGGAGGCAAACCUGGUCCUGGUACAAACAGAACAUUGUGCCAUUAAGUAAGUGGAUUUGUAGGACAGGAAGUGAACUGCUAAGCAAUCCCAAAUUUAUUUUUUAUUUUAUUUUGGGAGGGAAGUAAAAAUUACAAAAACUUGACAAAUGCCAUUCAAAUAAGGUUAUUUUCUUGCAUUGUGUAGCAGACAAGGUAGGAACUCAGCCAGGUGCCCAUUGUGCUUACUGUGCUCUGCAAAUAAUCUCUGCUGUAACCAGGAUUUAUUUUUUGGAAUACUAAUGCUAAUACUAUUGAAGAUAGGUCAGAGCAGUUGAGUCUAUAUUUAAGAUAUUAGAGGUGGUGUGCUGAAAACUCAUCCUAAUUAGCUGCAGAAUGAGGGAGCUGAAACUUGGCUUCAUAUAGCCAACAUAAAAGUAAUUACUUGCUGAAUUAUAUAUACGUAUAUAUUAACUUUCUGAAAUGAGCAUACAAAAUCCCGAGCCUUAUGAAAAAACAGCAUUAGACUAUUGGUGAAUGAUUGCCACUUUAUUUUGAGUUCAGUUGCACUGCCUUUUUGUGCAAUGACAGUUUUUACCCUGUCUGAUGGCUCUUACCUUUCAAGUUUUGUAAACCACAUUCUUGCACCAACACUUUGUCUCUUGCAGAGUUCCUAUGAAUGUUCUUCAGCUGUAGUAAAAGGAUGAAUUUCUCUUCUUUUUAAAAGUAAGUCUUGAUGCUGAAUAUUGACCCACUUGCACAGUAAAAUAUUAAAUGUGUUUUGUAGUAACUUGCAGUAGCACUAGUUGUGAAAAUAUCAUUGACAGUAUGGGAGACUCAAACUAAUGGCAGUAGCGUAUUUAACUGGUGUGAGUAGUCCUGUUGAGGCAAGCAGAAACUAUUUAAUACUCUGCAUUUUGGCAGCUGGGUGACUUGAAUGUGUCUAAAUUUAUAUAUAUAGUCAAGUAAGUUCAGUUGCAGUGAGUGCUAUCAUUUUUGCUAUAGUGACUCCCAGCUCCCAUUAGCACAUCCCCAAAUUGUGGCUGACUGUAACAGUUUCUUCAGGUGCUGCUUCCUUGCAAGAGGCAGAGAAAGGAUGGUCUUUGUUUGUGGAAAUGUAUAUAGAUACAGCAAUCAACUGUCAUCCUUUAGUGUCUUUUUUCACAAACUGAAACACAGGAGGCUCUGUCUGAACAUCAGGGAGCACUUCUUCACUGUGAUGGUGACCGAGCACUUACACAGGUUGCCCAGGAAGGUUAUAAAGUCUCCAUACUUGAAGAUAUCUAAAAGCUGUCUGGGUAGAAUCAUGGGCAGCAUGCUCUAGGUGGCCCUUCUUGAGCAUGGGGUUGGACCAGAUGACCUCUAGAGUUCCCUUCCAACCUCAACCAUUCUGUGAUUCUGUAAUUCUUUUCCUCACUUUAUACACAGUAAGCUAUUUUACUUUUGCUUCUUUUUCCUAUUUCACAGUUUCUUCCAUUGCUGCUUAUUGUCACAUGAGUAAUCCUUUCAUAAAAAAAGGGGGGGGGGGGAGAAGGGUUACAGAAGGUCAAUAUUCAUCUGAAUAAAUGUAAUGUAAAGCAUGUAGCGAUCACCUUUGACUUGUGUGUUAUUUAGAUUGAGUUGAGGCUUAAGUGUUUAAAAAAAAAUUGAAUCCCAUCAGAAGUAUGUUCAUGAUUUAACCUUCAUAACUAAUAAAGUACAGGAUUAAAUAUGUGUUUAAUGCAGAGGAAUUAUCACUUUCCUGAUGACUCUUAAUUGCUUACAAGUAGUGGAUUUUGCUAUUCAGUUAUGGCUGGGCCUGAGGAAGCAACUGAAGCUCAGAGAUUUCUUUUGCAUAAGGCUUUCCCAGUGCAGUGAUGUCAAUAGGCCGAUGAGAUAUUCCUAGUGUGAUGGCAGCUCUUAACCAAGUGCCAGUGAGACUUGCUCCUUUCCCCUUCACCAGGGAAAAGGAGCUGUUCUGAGGGGGAGGAAAUCAUGGAAGGGCAUGACAAACCACACUUUUGUACAGAGGAAAGGACCUUGCCAGGGCAGAAAUGUGGAUGAGGUGAGGAUUUGCUACAGUUGAAGAUGAAAGGAGCUGCCAAGUAGUGUCAGAUAGGUAUGGAGGCUUCAAAUAAUAAGGAAUAUCUGCUUGGCUGCACUGACUCCUUUUCAAGGUCACCUGUGUUUAGUCUUCAGGGAGUUGCAUCACUGUAUCCCCCACACAGCCAUUAAGGCAAGAAGCUGAUAGUGUAGAGCAAGCCUUGGAGAAAAGGUGCACUUCACACUAGCUGUUAAACUCUUUUAGUCCUUGCCUUGAAGAGCAAAUAUGCUAGAGAGUGUUUGCUUUGCUGCUGCUUUGUGACAUACUGCACUCUCCUGCAGGUAUGGCUUGAGGGACCAGGAGGAAGAAGGAAAUGUAGAUAUAUCUGGGAAGAGAAGCAAAAAGUGGGAGAGGACAAGGCAGAGGGUGGAGGGUGGAAGAGGCUGUAGAAGUUGCCAAAGGAGCAAGAUUUAGAUUCUGCUGUGAAGUUUGAUGUCCAUGUGACCAUGACUUGUCAAAUCCAAAAUGGAACUGAAAGGUAUGGAAUAGUGCACGGAGGCAAAGCUCAGUGGUCAAGAAGAGCUGCUCUCUGGAUCACUCCUGGAAGAGAAAACAGGCUCAAGCCUGCGGGAGGGUGCUUCUUUCAUCCAAGGCUUUUUCAGAAAUAUUUUAAAAUAACCUCUUCAAUUUAUGCUCGGUUGUGGGUUUAUGUACUGGCUGGUUUGUUGAAAUAUUAAUCUUGUAUUUUCAUUAAGCACAAUGCAUACCAUGUGGGUUUGAUUAAGAAGCAAGAAUAAAAAUACAAUGAAAAUUGAA